AUGAGGGGCGGCAGGGUCGCCUUCGGCCAUAAGACCAACUUCUGCCGCAUCCAGCAACCGGACGAUUCUCUUAAUGAUGGAUUCUAUGUCCUACACCACAUGCUGGAUGGUCAUCACGUUAAACAACAACAACAACAACAACAACAACAACAACAACAACAACAACAACAACAACAACAACAACAACAACUUUCACAUGGUGGUUGUUGUAUACCUUAUUUAGAAAUAAGUUCCAAGUCAAAUGUCUUCAAUCUGAUGAACACUUACUGUUCACUCUUCCCUGAUUCCUUGUGUCAACAGUUUGAAAAUACAAGUUGGAUCAAGUCGAGGACACAUGAAAUAAUUAAGUCCUACAGUAGUAACCAGUCAUAUGCGAGUGUGCAAAGAUGUUGCAUUACCAUGGCGAAAACCGUUCUGGUUGUUGAGAAUUCACAGCUCCAUCUCACAGAAUCUCACAGCUGCAUCAGCAAAGGUGGGACAAUACUUACCGUAUCCUCUGCAUUGGAGAUAGUGGACCAGAGGCUUCAUCGGCCGGCUGAGGCAGACGGUGCAACCGGCCAUAUUUCCCUAGGCGCUCGCCGAAAUAUGAGUCAAAAUCUUGUUUUCGAGGAACUCCCACAGGACAUCGUACACCGUAUACAUUCGCUCUUGCCGGUGCAAGAAGCCGCGCGUGCUGCCUGCGCAUCUCGUGGGCUUCUACAUUCCUGGAGAUGCUAUUCCAACCUCACACUCAACUGCGAAACACUUGGGUUGACUCACAAGAAGUUUGAGGAGAGAGAGACCUACAUCAUUGACAAGGUUGACAAAAUUCUUAGAAACCAUUAUGGGAAUGGGGUGAAGGUGAAGACACUUAAACUUCAUCUUGCCCCUUGCAACAAUAUCAAAGCCGCAUGCCUCGAUGGGUGGCUCCAAGUCACCGUUAAGGCUGGGAUCAAAGAACUUGACUUGGCAAUGCCUUUACUCAUGAAGGAAAAAUACAACUUCCCUUGUUCCGUUUUGUCUGACGAGGCAGCUGCAAGUUCGAUUCAGUCUCUUGGCCUUUGGGGUUGCUCUUUUCAUCCCACGUCCACACUUGGCCUCUUGAGAAGAUUGAAAUGUUUACAGUUGACUCUUGUGGACAUUAGCGAGGAAGGAUUAGGCCUAUUGCUCUCAAAAUCUUCUUCCCUUGAGCAGCUGGUCCUCUUCUUUUGUAGUGGGAUAACUUGCCUGCAAAUACCUUGUACAAUGCAACAACUCAAUUUCCUUAGUAUUACAGAAUGCAAGAGUUUGAAGAUGGUAGAGAUCGAUGCUCCAAAUCUCUGCUCCUUUUAUUGUGUUGGGACCCUGAUAGAAAUCUCCAUUAGAAAUUCUUUUCAGCUUAAGAAUGUAAAUUUGUCAUGCAUUCUUCUCUCUGAUGCUCGCGCCAAGCUACCAUCCAUCCUAGGAACUGUCGAGAGCCUUACCCUGCGCUCUCGCACUGAGAAUGCCAAAGUUCCAACCCUGGCCUCCAAGCUCCUCUGCCUCAAGCACUUGGAUAUUGAACUCCUCGGACCAACAAUGGCCUUCCCACCUUUUAGAAAUAUAACGGACUUCCCCAAGAGCUAUGAUGUCUUCUCUUUGGUUUCAUUUCUUGAUGCUUCUCCUACCUUGGAUUCCUUCAUCCUGCGCGUAGAGCAGGGUGCCGUUAGAUCCGACUUCGGUUUUGGAGAUGACCAUGAGUAUCUGAGGCAGAGGCUAGAGGGCCGGCAUAACUGCCUCAGGCAGGUGACAAUCACGGGGUUCUGUCCAUCCAAGAGCCUGGUCCAACUCCUAAUCUACAUCCUUGAGAGUGCGCCCUCGCUCGAGCGCCUGACGUUGGACACAACCUACCGCUACGACAGGAGGUCGGGUACCACUAGCAGAUGGUCGUCCUCAAGAAAGAUUGACCAAUGCUCGCCGAUGUGCAGAACGUAUCUCCCCGGAGCUCGUAGAGCCGUGGAAGCUGCGUGUAGGUGCAUCGCCGGAAGAGUCCCCCCAAAUGUUGAAUUUGAGGUCCUAGAGAUGUGUAGUCGAUGCCAUGAUACAUGCCUCCAUAUAUAG
rnacentral:rRNA from 1 species